CGUGUCCUUUGGGGUUCUGGCAUUGGAUAGGUAGUGCGGAUGUCCAUUUGUGCUCAAAAUCUGUUGAAGAGUUGAUGUUGGCAAUGCGAGAGAAAAAUUAUUCGUGUGCCCAGAAGGGUGAGAGUGAACAAAUGCUUCAGAUUCAACUAAGACUGUGGACAACAAAGAUUUUGUUUCUUGGAUACUUUUAGCAAAAGCAUCUUCUCAGAGCCUCAGAUCAAGCUUUCGAAGGAAACUGAAUCCACUUAUCGAAAUCUUCCUCUCAGGACAACAGACUCCCAUGGAUGCAUAUGUGUAUAUCAUCAAUUUCCGUAUACAUUAUUGGGCAUAUUCUUGUGACCCAUAAAAAUCAAUCAGGCACAAAGAAAUGGCAUAUGUUUUACAGCAUGCAAAAUACAAUGACACAACUGCUGAAUGACAUUUAUGAGGAUUCACUUUCAUGACAUUGAUUAUCAGGUUUUUAUCACCAUUUCAUAGUUGUGUGAUCUGCUUCAGUUAUACAAUGCCUGGCUGCUUGUCUCUUAACUUCAAAUUUUCUGAUUCUGAAGUUGGAGAACUCAAAGAAAGCGACUCGGCAGACUUAAAGUAACAAAUUGUAUUGGUUUUUUUGGUCUCUGUUCUCGCUGUGUGAUACUUUUCUGCCCAUUUAUUAGAGAGAGAGAGAGAGAGAGCCUGUGACGUCAGAUUGUUGGGUGAAUGAUUAGUUUUUCUCUGCUGGAGAUCAUGGGCUCUCUUGGGGGCUUUGCUGUUGCUUGUUUGGUGGGUGGUGGAUACUGAUGCUUUUUUGCUGAAAUAAGUGGGGGAGGGUUGAUAUUUUGCUGCUGCUUGUGUGUGGGAAGGUUAAGGGGAGCUUUGGGGUUCUAAUGUUUUUACUCUCAUUUAUUCAUUUGGGGUAUUGUGUUUUUGUGGAUGUCUGUAAAUACAAGGAUUUCAGGUUGUAUAUUGCACACAUUCUCUGAUAUUAAAUUGAAUUAUUGAAAUGACUAUAUAUCUUAUCUAUACUUUUCCUGGUAAGCUAUGGAUAUAAAUAUGUACAGUAUUUAACUGUUGUUACAGUAAAUGUUACAUUUGUGUCAAAAUAUGAGAAUAUUCAGCUUAAUCUGAAGGUUUAGUAAUAAUUUGAACUUGGUCGCUUUGCACUCACAGUAGAAACAAUGACGCAUAAGAAAGUCUGUAGAUGCUGGAAAUCCAGAACAAUGCACACAAAAUGCUGGUGGAACUCAGCCAGUCAGGCAGCACCUAUGGAAUUGAAUAAACAGUUGAUGUUUUGGGCUGAGACUCUUCAUUAGGACAGCCGAAAUAUCAACUGUUUACUCUUCCAUAAAUGUUGUCUGACCUGCUGAUUUCCUGCAGCAUUUUGUGUGUGUUCCAAUAGAAGAAGCCAUUUAUCUGACUUCAUGUGUUCAAAUGAUAGCAAUAUUUUGAAACUUUCUGUUAUAAAGUAAGAAUCAAGUUUAUUAUAACUGGCAUGUGACGUGAAAAUUGUUAACUUAGCAGCAGCAGUUCAAUGCAAUGCAUAAUAUAGAAGAAGAAACAAUAAUAAUAAAUAAAUUACGGUAUACAUAUAUUGAACAGAUUAAAAAUCGUGCAAUAUUCGGAAAUACUAUAUAUUUUUAAAAGUGAGGUAGUGUCCAAGGGUUGAACGUCCAAUGUCAGUGUCCAUUUUGAAUCGGAUGUCAGAGGGGAAGAAUCUGUUCCUAAAUCACUGAGUGUGUGCCUUCUGGCUUCUAUACCUCCUACCUGAUGACAACAGUGAGAAAAGGACAUGCCCUGGGUGCUGGAGGUCCUUAAUAAUGGACGCUGCCUUUCUGAGACACCACUUCUUGAAGAUGUCCUGGGUACUUUGUAGGCUAGUACCCAAGAUGGAGCUGACUAAAUUUACAGCCCUCUGUAGCUUCUUUCGGUCCUGUGCAGUAGCCCCCUCCCCCCAUACCAAACAGAGAUGCAGCCUGUCAGAAUGCUCUCCAUAGAAACAUAGAAACAUAGAAGUUUUUGAGUGUAUUUGUUGACAUACCAUAUCUCUUCAAACUCCUAAUGAAGUAUAGCCACUGUCUUGCCUUCUUUAUAACUGCAUCGAUAUGUUGGGACCAGGUUAGAUCCUCAGAGAUCUUGACACCUAGGAAAUGCUCCCACUCUCCACUUCUGAUCCCUCUGAGGAUUGGUCUGUGUUCCUUCAUCUUACACUUCCUGAAGUCCACAACCAGCUCUUUUGUCUUACUGAUGUUGAGUGCCAGGUUUUUGCUGUGACACCACUCCACCAGUUGGCAAAUCUCACUCCUGUACACCUUUCGUCACCACCUGAGAUUCUACCAAAAUUGGUUGUAUGGAUAGCAAAUUUAUAGAUGGUAUUUGAGCUAUGCCUAGCCACACAGUCAUUGGUAUAUAGAGAGUAGAGCAGUGGGCUAAGCACACAUCCCUGAGGUGCACCAGUGUUGAUCAUCAGCAGGAGGAGAUGUUAUCACCAGUCCACACAGAUUGUGGUCUUCCAGUUAGGAAGUCAAGGAUCCAAUUGUAGAGGGAGGCCCAGGUUUUGCAACUUCUCAAUGAUGAUAUGAUGGUAUUAAAUGCUGAGCAUUUAAAUGCUGAAAACAGCAUCCUGACAUAAGUGUUUGUGUUGUCCAGGUGGUCUAAAGCCAUGUGAAGAGCCAUUGAGAUUGCAUCUGUUGUUGACUUAUAGUGGCGAUAGGCAAAUUGCAAUGGGUCCAGGUCCUUGCUGAGGCAGGAAUUCAGAAUAAUCAUGACCAACCUCUCCAAGCAUUGUAUCACUGUAUAUGUGAGUGCUACCGGGCGAUAGUCAUUAAGAUCAUGUUGUCUUAUUUUGAAUACAUGCAAGAUCCCAUGUAUUUUGUAUUUAAAUAAACAUCUUUUUAAUCUUAAAAACAGAAGGAAAUGAAAUGAAUAUAAUCUAGAAGCUUAAGUGGCUUUAGCAUUUGUCUAAUCACAGCAAUUCUAAGUCUCAAGGCUUACUAUCACACAACCACAAUUAUGUUCAUUGAUGAGUUGAACAAGAUGUUAUUAGAUGAAAAACCACCUCUGGCAAGUAAGAAGAGAGUAGAUUCAUACAUAUAUCAUGUCCCAAGUUUCCAAUUGAAAGAUAAUGAAUAUAUUUAGUGGUAGGUGUUUUAUAAUAGGAAAACAGAAAUCAGAAUAAGGAGAAAAAUGUCUUUUCAGGCAUAUGCAAUAUCAUCAGAUUGUAAGAAUAAUUAUUGACUAAUUCAAAGAACAUAGAGAAGUAGAUAUGGAACAUAUGAAUUCCCUAAUGGCAUAAUUCCCAGUACGAAUUCAAUACUUUAGAUUUUAUAAAGUCCUCAAUUCUAGUUUCCAUCAUAAACUUAAUCAGCUUCCUGGGAGUUGAGACCAUCCAUUGGUUGGGGUGGACCAUGGAUAUUGCAUCCCAACUGUCUACAUGAUAUGCAGGCCAGGGCAGAGCAAUAUGGAGAACAAGCUGUCGCCCAUGUAGCAUGCUCUUCUUCACCAGGCAGCUAAUGAAUUCAAAAGAACAACUGAAACCCAUACAUUUUGGCACCAGCAGCAUCACAGGACUUCCCAGUCAGCAUUGAACUCAACGUUAGGACUGUCUUAAGGACUCCAGCUUGGAUGUUUCCUCAGGAUCUACUCUGGAAGCCAUCCCUGUGAGUAGGUACAGCUGCAAGGUAGCAGAAGGUGAGAUUAGUUUUCCUUCACCUAGAAUAGAUGAACUGCCAUUAACUGCUGACAAGCCUCAUUUGCCUGAAGCAACUGGUUUUACGGCACCAGUAACCUACCUCUACCCAUUCUUCUGUCAGUGGAAAUGGUUUGACCGGGCUUAGUAGCCAAGCCACAGGUGAAGGCCAGGAUCUGGAUUUGGUUGUCAAAGGCUAUUAGAGAUGAACACUAUUAGGAGCCUCUAACAGCUAGUGAGAGUUUUCCCCACUACCACUCCUGGCUAUAGCAACUUUAAGGAAUCUUUUUUUGGGAGUUACUUUCAAACAUAUCUGGCAAUUUUCAUCACAUUUCUUUAAAAGCUUAUCCCAUUACCUAUAUUUAGUUUUGUCUUGAGCUUCUUUUCUUAUUCAUUAAUGGUAAUGAUUCAUGCUUGUAAACCAGCUUAAUAGCACAAGUAAGUCUGCUGUAUCAGUUCUCUAAUCUUGUUUGCAGUUACCUCAAAGGCUGUACAGGGAAAGGCCACAGUUUAGGGCCCUCCCACCAUGACACACAGAGGGAGGAAAAUCUCAGAUACCUUAUUGAUCAAAGAAAAUUUGAUACCAUGCUCUUAUAUAUCUUAUAAGGAAAUAGAAUCAAAUGUUUUCUGUUGUGAGUGACAGUAUAUUAUAUGUAUCAAUGUAUAUGUAUAUUAGCAAAUUUUCUGAAUAAUGUAUACAUUUGGGGAAAAAAAUGAAGAUUAUCAACAUAUUUUUACCUUUUGACACACCAAGUGUUCCACUAUCAAUAAGUUACAAGUCAGGAGUUUUUGCACUCUUCUCCACUUGACUAGAUUGGUGAAGCUAUAACAACACUGAAGAAGUUUGAUAUCAUCCAGGACAAGGCAGUCCAUCAGGAUGGUGACAACAAAAUCAGAUUUAUUAUCACUGAUAUAUGUUGUGAAAUUUGUUGUUUUGGAUCAGUGGUACAAUGCAAUACAUAUACUAUAAAUUACAAGUGUGUGUGUGUCUACAAGUGUGUAGUUGUGUGUGUAUAUAUUUGUACGUGUGUAUAUGUAUAUAUGCAUAUAUAUGUGUAUGUAUAUCUAUGUAUUUGUGUGUGUGUGUGUAUGUAUAUAUAUAUAUAUAGACACUACAUUGAUUGGCCUUAUCUCAAACAAUAACAAGGUGGCCUACUGGGAAGAAGUCAUCUCUCUGACACAGUGGUGUCAAGAAAACAACCUCUCCCACAAUGUCUCAAUAACAAAGAAACUGGUUGUGGAUUACAGGAGGAAUGGAGACAGGCUAACCGCUAUUGACAUCAAUGGAUCUGGGGUUGAGGGUUAACAGCUUCAAGUUCCUCGGCAUCCACAUCACUGAGGACCUCAUGUGGUCUGUACACACCAACUGUGUGGUGAAAAGGGCACAACAGUGCUUCUUUCACUUCAAACAGUUGAGGAAAUUUGGUAUGGGCCCCCAAAUCCUAAGAACUUUCUACAGGGGCACAACUGUAAACAUCCUGACUGGCUACAUCACUGCCUGGUAUGGGAAUUGUACCUCCCUUAUAAGCAGGAUUCUGCAGAUAGUGGUGCGGAUGGCCCAGGGCAUCUGUAGUUGUGAACUUCCCAUGAUUUAGGACAUUUACAGGGACAGGUGUGCAAAAAGGGCCUUGUAGGAUUAUUGGAGACCCAAGCCAACCCAAGCACAAUCUAUUUCAGCUGCUACCAUCCAGGAAGCAGCACCGUAGCAUAAAAGCCAGGACCAACAGGUUCCGGGACAGCUUUUUCCACCGGGCCAUCAGACUGAUGAGCUCACACUGACUUGAGUGUACUCUAUAUCACAUUGACUGUUUUAUUUAGUAUAAAUUACUAUGAUUGCACAUUGCACUUUUUUAAAACAAUAUUGAAUUUUACAUACAUUUCACAUACAAAUAAACAAUAAUAAUAAACUAGUGAAACAUCCUCAUGUUUUUCACAAUCUUCAAAGGAAAAGAGAUAUGACAUUUCAGAUACUUCACAUAUUUAAUAAAGUAAUAAAAUAAAAACACAUCAGAAAAAAAACCAUAGAAACACUCAACAAGACACACCUAUUUCAAAAUGACUGUGCACCUUGACGUCCAAGAAACUCCAAUAAAGGUUUCCACACAUUUUCAAAUUCUCCUGCCCUUCCCCUGGUCAUGUAAGUCAGUCUCCCCAAUAUAAUACAAGACGCCAUCUCCUUUAUCCAUACAUGUAUCGAAGGUAUAUCCAUUUUCCUCCAAGAUAAAGCUAUCACCCUCCUGGCCUGUAGGAGUCCAAAGUCAAUUAAAGUUGCCUGUUUUGGACUAACAGUAGAGUUCUUUGGAUGUAUACCUAGUACACACAUUUUUGUUUGGUUAAGUACCUUUACUUCAACAAUCUUAGAUGUAGUCUGAACGACUGUUUUCCAGUAUUUUUUUAAUUUAGGACAGUCCCAUACACAGUGAAACAGAGUACCCUUUUCUUCUAAACACAAGUGUUCAGGAUGUCAGGGGUCCAACGGUUCAGUUUGACCGGGGUAACAUAAGUUCUCAUUAACUAUUCAUAUUAUAAUAGCUUCAUUCUCGUAUUAAUUGAUUCUUUUUGGGCUUUUAAGCAUGCUGUUUCCCACUCAGUUUCUUGUAUGUCCUCUUGAACAUCCAGUUUCCAUGCCUCCACCCUGUCAAUGGUGGACUCCUUAUUAUAUUAUAUCAAAGCUGUAUUGAAUAAAGAAAUCUGACUCCUCCCCUUUAGAUUUAGAAGUGUAAGAUUUUCAAGAUGUGAUAGUGGUGGUUAAGAUAUUAAAUGCUGAUAUUUUGAUAGUGUUGGCGCAUGGCCUAGUGGGCAAGGCAUCAGACUAGUAACCUCAAGGUCACUGGUUCGAGCCUCAGCCGAGGCAGUGUGUUUGCGUCCUUGAGCAAGGCACUUAACAACACAUUGCUCUGCAACAUCACCAGUGCCAAGCUGCAUGGGUCCUAGUGCCCUUCCCUUGGACAACAUCAGUGGCGUGGAGAGGGGAAGGCCUGCAGCUUGGGCAACUGCCGGUCUCCCAUACAACCCUGCCCAGGCCUGCGCCCUGGAAACUCCAGACACAGAUCCAUGGUCUCUCGAGACCGAUGGAUGCCACCAUAUAUAUUUUGAUAAUAUGAACUGUCUCAGUUGCCCAUAUUUUAAAAAGUUAUUUUUUUAGGGAUAUAGUAUAUCUGACACAAUUGAUCAAAUGUAGUAAGAUUACCAUUCAUACAAAAGUCCUCUAGUUUCUGCACACCUUUGCCCAGAUUCUGAAACCACCACCUGCUCUUCCUGCCCUGAAGUAUGUACUGCCCCAUAUUAUGGUAUUGUCUGCACUGUUGCAACUAAAUGUUAACUAUAACUAUAUGGUUUUGUGUAGGUUUUUGGUUUGUUGGGUGGUAAUGCUGGUCUCUUGACUUGGUGUGUCUGGGUAGUCUUGUUUUGUCUGAUGGGCUUGGAGUUCCUUUCCAGGAAACGUGCUAAGAUGGUAGCCCGAUAUUGAUAUGCAGCAGCCUCUCUGGACUCUGGAUUGAAGAUUACCAAACAUUAUGUGGUUUUUCUUGUGUGGUCUGUUUUGUCGUGUGCUUUUUUGUGAUAUCAUUCCGGAGAAUGUUGUCUCAUUUUUUAACAGCAUUGCAUUUGUGGUUUCUCAAUGACAAUAAACUGAAUCUGAAUCUGAAGUGUGAGAUGAGAGGAGUAUCUUUAAUAUGCUGAUGUGCUUUACACCAGAUGUCAAUAGUAUUUUUGAGGAAAUAGUAUUUUGUUCUUUUCAAAUUUCUUGGGUCUGCUGAGUACAGAUAGAGCUUUGAUGGGAGGUUUGGUACUGAUGCCUGUUCAAUGCUCACCCAGGCUGGAAGGACCUCCAUUGAGAAAUAAAUCAAUGUAGAACGUAACUGAGCAGACCAAUAACAUCAAUUCAGGUUUGGGAGCCAUAGCCCUCCCCUUUCAUAAGCUGGAUUCCCAACAGGCCUAUCUGCAUUCCUAUUGCCAUAGCCAGGAGUUCUAUGGCCAGUAUAAACAACAUCGGUGACAAAGGGCAUCCCUGAUUCUUUUGAAGACCCUGACCUGGAGUUACACACUGACUUUGCGGAAAUAGGACCUGCUCUCAGGGCCUUACAACUGGUCACUUUUCAAUAUGCCAAGGAUGCAGCCUGGAAGACUAGCACACCUUCAGGUUGCUGGAUUUUCGUGGGACAUGGAAGAUUGUACGCAGUGAGCUGGCUGUGUGCCCAGACACCCAAGUUCUUUGAGCACAGAGCUCGGAAAAAGCAGUGCAACAGACUUUUAACACCAUUGUGUAUGAUUAGCCAUGAUCACAGUUUAUAGGCAGUGCUGGCUAGAAGGGCUGAAGGGCCUACUCCUGCACCUACUGUCUAUUGUCUAUAAAUUAGCAAGUUUUUUAUUAUGUCUCCCCUCUCACUGUGAAACAGGGACACCUCUUUUUCCCAUAUUAGGAAGAGAGAGAGCCUGUGGUAUGUUGAAUUACCAAGUGAACGAGUAGUCUUUGGGGUACUGCAAGCCUGUGUUUUUAUUGAUGCUUUGCUAAAUGCUUGAGUGCUUGGUGGGGAGUGACGUUGCUUUUUGCUGGUCAGGAAGGGGGGUUGUUGCUUUUGCUGCUGCUUAUGCAUGGCGGUUGAGGUUCUAACAUCUAACUAUCAUUCAUUCUUUGGGGCACUUCUCUGUUUUUGUAGAUGUUUGUGAAGAAAAAGCAUUUCAGGAUGUAUAUUGUAUACAUUUCUCUGACAUUAAAUGUACCUAUUGAAACCUGUUGAGAGGGGGAGAGAGCUGAGACAGUGACAGCUGUGGAACACUUGGGGUCAAUUUCUGACUACCAGAGAAAUAAUUUUGCCUGAAAUAUUAUGAUCUUCUGCUGUUAAAUUAAUAAGCUUUAAAGAAAGUUAAAUGUAUCUGAGACAAGAUAAACAUCAUGAUUCAAUGGCCCUUUGAAAUAAGAGAAAGUCUGACCAUUUCCCUUUGAUAUUCAGUGACAUCUACAAGUGGCAAAUUUCUACUAUUAUCACUAUUGGCCACAGGCUGGAUGUUGUGCCUUCAUCUACCAAAACACGUCAUGGUUGUGAAAAAAUAUUCUUGAGUUGUCUGUAUGGUUGAGAAUUUCAGUUUAUGCUUUUACAAUUUUAUUUUGCUUCAAAAGUCUCACUUUAUUAAAAAUGCCUAAA